GAUGAACGCUAGCUACAGGCUUAACACAUGCAAGUCGCAGGGUAACAUGAGGAAAGCUUGCUUUCCUUGAUGACGACUGGCGCACGGGUGAGUAACGCGUAUCCAACCUUCCCAUAACUACGGGAUAACCCGUUGAAAGACGGCCUAAUACCGUAUGAUAUCGUUUGCUGACAUCAAAUAACGAUUAAAGGUUUAGCGGUUAUGGAUGGGGAUGCGUCUGAUUAGCUUGUUGGCGGGGUAACGGCCCACCAAGGCGACGAUCAGUAGGGGUUCUGAGAGGAAGGUCCCCCACAUUGGAACUGAGACACGGUCCAAACUCCUACGGGAGGCAGCAGUGAGGAAUAUUGGUCAAUGGGCGAGAGCCUGAACCAGCCAAGUAGCGUGCAGGACGACGGCCCUAUGGGUUGUAAACUGCUUUUAUGAGGGGAUAAAGUGCGUGACGUGUCAUGCAUUGCAGGUACCACAUGAAUAAGGACCGGCUAAUUCCGUG
rnacentral:rRNA from 1 species